rnacentral:rRNA from 1 species
UGGGGAAUAUUGGACAAUGGGCGAAAGCCUGAUCCAGCCAUGCCGCGUGUGUGAAGUAGGUCUUCGGAUUGUAAAGCACUUUAAGUUGGGAGGAAGGGCAUUAACCUAAUACGUUAGUGUUUUGACGUUACCGACAGAAUAAGCACCGGCUAACUCUGUGCCAGCAGCCGCGGUAAUACAGAGGGUGCAAGCGUUAAUCGGAAUUACUGGGCGUAAAGCGCGCGUAGGUGGUUUGUUAAGUUGGAUGUGAAAUCCCCGGGCUCAACCUGGGAACUGCAUUCAAAACUGACUGACUAGAGUAUGGUAGAGGGUGGUGGAAUUUCCUGUGUAGCGGUGAAAUGCGUAGAUAUAGGAAGGAACACCAGUGGCGAAGGCGGCCCCCUGGACAAAGACUGACGCUCAGGUGCGAAAGCGUGGGGAGCAAACA